UGGGAGUUAGCUCAGCAGGAAGAGCGGCGGUCUCCAAAACCGCAGGCCGUGGGUUCGAGGCCCGCACUCCUAG
rnacentral:tRNA from 1 species